CCAUUUCCAUUCUGCUCUCGCCGCCUACUUGCGUCGCCACUUUGCGACCAUUUCCAAAGCGCCACCUCUGUUACUCCCCCGUAGCCUGGCCUCCUGUGAUCUGUAGCACUCACUACUGACUCUAUAGUGGUAGUAGUAAUUAUUACCACUACACUAGUACUAAUCGCUGCUCCUAAGCACGUACUAGUACGAGUAGGCGCUAAACCGGCAGCUUGCUUAGCUUUGCCUUUCAGCCCCCCCUUGGCCUUGGUGAUCAUUGAGUAGUAUAAUUAUUAGACUAGUGACAGCGUCAUGAUACUACUGCUAACCUGUGUGCCCUUAUGAUUUCUGGCUGGGCUGUGUGGAUGGAGAGACGAGUAACCAUCUAUGCAGCAUCAUUGCUACCACUCCGCUAGCAGGUGUAUCCAUCCAUCUAUCUACCUAUCACCGGUGAUUUUGCUUUGUUUCUUUCUAACUCAAGUAAUCAUCAGGUCAGCCAACAAACAAUUUACUACAAGCGCACAGAUGUAAAGAGAUGGAAUGUGCUAAUGCUGUGGUCGCCAAGAGUGAAUUUCCUUUUCCAUAUGCUGGUUGGUGGCCAGCCUCCCUUUGCGGAAAACAAUGACUACGACUCAGACGCUCCGGCAUGCUUUCGCUGUAAAAAAAAAAAGGAUCGUCAGGCAGGCAGAUAGUCACCAUUCUGCUUUGCUCCGACUCAGCCUCAGCAACGCACCAGGGUUACGUCAGUUCGGUAGGCUGAAGAAUGGGCUUCUGCAAUACAAAUCUCAAACAUACAACUUUUUUUUCUUCUGGAUUCAUCUCAUGGUAUUUAUAACUGAUGAAAUAGUGUGAUCCAUGUAUUACAGCGGGUGCUGCAUAGGGGGUACUACUAUAUAUUAUUCUGUUGGAA